GUAGUCAUAUGCUUGUCUCAAAGAUUAAGCCAUGCAUGUCUAAGUAUAAACAAAUUCAUACUGUGAAACUGCGAAUGGCUCAUUAAAUCAGUUAUAGUUUAUUUGAUAAUACCUUACUACUUGGAUAACCGUGGUAAUUCUAGAGCUAAUACAUGCUGAAAAUCCCGACUUCGGAAGGGAUGUGUUUAUUAGAUAAAAAACCAAUGCCCUUCGGGGCUUUUUGGUGAUUCAUGAUAACUUUACGGAUCGCAUAGCCUUGCGCUGGCGACGGUUCAUUCAAAUUUCUGCCCUAUCAACUUUCGAUGGUAAGGUAUUGGCUUACCAUGGUUUCAACGGGUAACGGGGAAU
rnacentral:rRNA from 1 species